GCUACGGAAUCCGGGCGGCGGCGCACGUGACCCGGCGUUGCUAGGAAACGGGAGUGGGGCCUGCGGGGACGCGGCUGGAGCCUGCGCAUUUCUUCCUUCCUGCUUUCAAAGUUGCAAUGAGCGCAGAGCGGUGCGCCCGAGGGGGUUGAAGCGUUGAAAGUGUGUUACCCAGAUUUUAUCUGAGUUAAACACGGGCCGGCCGCUGUGGCUCACGUCUGUACUCCCAGAGCCUUGGGAGGUCGAGGCGGGAAGAUCGCUUGAGCCCGGGAGCUCGAGACCAGACGCGGCAACAUGGCGAGACGCACAUCUCUGCCUUUAAAAAUGAGAGGCUGGCGGUUACCUUUCUUGGGGAGACGCGUCCGACUGCUUCAUUGUGGGGGCCUCAGGAGCGGAGGAUCGGGUCCCGCCCGAGGUGACGCGUAAACCCAGACUCUCAGCAACGCGGGUAGGAAGGACCCUUGAAGUUCCGCGGCGACCACGGAACUGUGCCUUCGAUCUCCACAGUCGGCUGAAACCAGCAGCCCAGGACAAGUGGACCAGCCAGCAAGACCCAGACCAUCCAAACCGGCUGAUCCUACGACAGGACCCAGAUGCCAGUGAAAGUGACCACAGCCCUGCUCUAGUCACCCCGGAAGCUGACCAGUCUACGCACGGCCGAAGCUUCGUCAAGGAAGUAAAUGUAGUUAGAAAUCUUAAGCCCAGUAAUUUUCCUUGUCAUCUUAAUUGUUUUACUAUUAACCUGUCGCUUUGCUCAACCCCCUCCU
rnacentral:lncRNA from 1 species